rnacentral:misc_RNA from 1 species
GAUGAAAACGUAGCGAAAUGCGAUACGUAAUGUGAAUUGCAGAAUUCAGUGAAUCAUCGAAUCUUUGAACGCAUAUUGCGCUCUCUGGUAUUCCGGAGAGCAUGCUUGUUUGAGUAUCAGUAAACACCUCAACUCCCUUUUCUUUUUUGAAAUGGGAGCUGGACUUGAGUGAUCCCAACACUUUUCUCACUGGAAAGUGGCGGGUCACUUGAAAUGCAGGUGCAGCUGGACUUUUCUCUGAGCUAUAAGCAUAUCUAUUUAGUCUGCCUAAAAAACAGAUUAUUACCUUUGCUGCAGCUAACAUAAAGGAGAUGAGUUCUUGUGCUGACUGAUGCAGGAUUCACAGAGACAGCUUUGCGGCUGACUUUGUAAACUCGAUCUCAAAUCAAGUAAGACUACCCGCUGAACUUAAGCAUAUCAAUAAGCGGAGGA